UACGGAGGGUGCGAGCGUUGUCCGGAAUUAUUGGGCGUAAAGAGCUUGUAGGCGGUUUGUCGCGUCUGCUGUGAAAAUCCGGGGCUCAACCCCGGACUUGCAGUGGGUACGGGCAGACUAGAGUGUGGUAGGGGGAGACUGGAAUUCCUGGUGUAGCGGUGAAAUGCGCAGAUAUCAGGAGGAACACCGAUGGCGAAGGCAGGUCUCUGGGCCACUACUGACGCUGGAGAAAGCGAAAGCAUGGGGAGCGAACAGG
rnacentral:rRNA from 1 species